rnacentral:tRNA from 1 species
AUUUAGAUAGCUUAAAUAUUAAAGCUUAAUAUUGAAGAUAUUAAUAUAAGGUAAUAAAUCCUUUCUAAAUA